rnacentral:lncRNA from 1 species
AUGUCCCUGGCCUUCCCAUAUGGGAGCACCAGGCCCAAUAACUUCUACUGCAAGCACCUGUGACUCUUUGCCUGUGGGCUUUCUCUGACUGCUGGAGUGUGCUCAGCCUGGGCUGGGGCAGAUCAGAAGCAUGGAGAGCUAGUGCCCUGAGGGUAGACCCCAAAUGAAGACUGAUGGGGCUGGUGAAGCAAGACCUCAGUUCCUCACUUCUCAGGGAUUAAAACACUUAUCUCACAACAUCUUUGGGAGGAUCAAAUGAAAUAAUAAAUGUGAAAGUGCUUUGUCAACCAAAGACUGCUAUAAAAAUAAAUGUAGACCGAGGUUGAGGCUAUCGUUGCAGAAUUGUAAUCUCUGCACUUGAAAUUGAUGUGGAUAUGCAAGCAAAUGAAAGGAAAAUGAAAGAUUUUUUCCCCUGGAAGAGACCCCUCUUCGCCCAUCACUACAUGUCAGACUGAAGAAACAAGGAUGCUGAAUCCCCAGCUUAAUGCCAUCCCCUCUCGAACUAGGAACUCAUUUGUUCAAACUAAGAUUUCAAGAUGAAACUCCAAUCAGCAGUCCCCGUGAAAGUAUCAUUUCAAUCCAAAGAUUUUUUGAAGGAUGGACUGAUUAAAUAAUGAGUUUAGAAAUAUAAAUAAAGAAGUAGGACAGCAAAGUAAAAAAAUAAUCCCCUGGGAUUUAGAAUUGAUACAUUUAGGGCCUAAAAAUAAGAAAAAAAAAAUUAAAUAGCAAGUACUCCAAGAGUGUAAAGUUCUUAAAGACAUUAACAAUGGAUAUGGUUUUACUGUUUAAUUCCCCCUUGGACUAGCCCCAUUCUCCUCCCUGAGAGAAUGAUGGCUUCUCUUAAUUGAAGGCAGCGUAGAUGUGACUUUUCGGAGUGGGGAAGAGAAUAAAUCAAAAGGUACACCCCUGUCCUCCUUAAAAAAUAUUCUUCACCUGUCCUUGAAAUUUUAGGCUUU